rnacentral:rRNA from 1 species
GCCGCAGAGACCAGGUGGCUGCGACUGUUUAUUAAAAACACAGCACUCUGCAAAUUCGUAAGAAGACGUAUAGGGUGUGACGCCUGCCCGGUGCCGGAAGGUUAAUUGAUGGGGUUAUCUUCGGAGAAGCUCUUGAUCGAAGCCCCGGUAAACGGCGGCCGUAACUAUAACGGUCCUAAGGUAGCGAAAUUCCUUGUCGGGUAAGUUCCGACCUGCACGAAUGGCGUAACGAUGGCCACACUGUCUCCACCCGAGACUCAGUGAAAUUGAAAUCGCUGUGAAGAUGCAGUGUACCCGCGGCUAGACGGAAAGACCCCGUGAACCUUUACUAUAGUUUUGCACUGGACUUUGAUGAUGACUGUGUAGGAUAGGUGGGAGGCUGUGAAGUGAGGACGCUAGUUCUCAUGGAGCCACCCUUGAAAUACCACCCUGUUGUUAUUGAGGUUCUAACUUGGUCCAGUAAUCCUGGAUGAGGACAGUGUAUGAUGGGUAGUUUGACUGGGGCGGUCUCCUCCCAAAGAGUAACGGAGGAGCACAAAGGUACCCUCGGUACGGUCGGACAUCGUACCAAGAGUGUAAAGGCAAAAGGGUGCUUGACUGCGAGAGUGACGGCUCGAGCAGGAACGAAAGUUGGUCUUAGUGAUCCGGUGGUUCUGAAUGGAAGGGCCAUCGCUCAACGGAUAAAAGGUACUCCGGGGAUAACAGGCUGAUACCGCCCAAGAGUUCAUAUCGACGGCGGUGUUUGGCACCUCGAUGUCGGCUCAUCACAUCCUGGGGCUGAAGCAGGUCCCAAGGGUAUGGCUGUUCGCCAUUUAAAGUGGUACGCGAGCUGGGUUUAGAACGUCGUGAGACAGUUCGGUCCCUAUCUGCCGUGGGCGUAGGAAAAUUGAGAGGAGCUGCUCCUAGUACGAGAGGACCGGAGUGGACGAACCUCUGGUGCACCGGUUGUCACGCCAGUGGCAUGGCCGGGUAGCUAAGUUCGGACGGGAUAACCGCUGAAAGCAUCUAAGCGGGAAGCCUCCCUCAAGAUGAGUUUUCCCAUGAAGCCCGUUGAAGACUACGACGUUGAUAGGCAAGGUGUGGAAGCGCAGUAAUGCGUGAAGCUAACUUGUACUAAUUGGCUGAUUGUCUUGACCAUAUAAUCUGAG